rnacentral:rRNA from 1 species
GGAGGCAGCAGUGGGGAAUAUUGCCCAAUGGGCGGAAGCCUGUUNCAGCUAUGCCGGGUGGUGAAGAUGGCCUUCGGGUUGUAAAGUACUUUCAGUCGUGAGGAAGGCAUUAACGUUAAUAGCGUUAGUGUUUGACGUUAGCGACAGAAGAAGCACCGGCUAACUCCGUGCCAGCAGCCGCGGUAAUACGGAGGGUGCUGAGCGUUAAUCGGAAUUACUGGGCGUAAAGCGCAUGCAGGUGGUUUGUUAAGUCAGAUGUGAAAGCCCGGGGCUCAACCUCGGAACCGCAUUUGAAACUGGCAGGCUAGAGUACUGUAGAGGGGGGUAGAAUUUCAGGUGUAGCGGUGAAAUGCGUAGAGAUCUGAAGGAAUACCGGUGGCGAAGGCGGCCCCCUGGACAGAUACUGACACUCAGAUGCGAAAGCGUGGGGAGCAAACAGGAUUAGAUACCCUGGUAGUCCACGCCGUAAACGAUGUCUACUUGGAGGUUGUGGCCUUGAGCCGUGGCUUUCGGAGCUAACGCGUUAAGUAGACCGCCUGGGGAGUACGGUCGCAAGAUUAAAACUCAAAUGAAUUGACGGGGGCCCGCACAAGCGGUGGAGCAUGUGGUUUAAUUCGAUGCAACGCGAAGAACCUUACCUACUCUUGACAAGGA